rnacentral:rRNA from 1 species
AGGACGAACGCUGGCGGCGUGCCUAACACAUGCAAGUCGAACGCACCGCAAGGUGAGUGGCGCACGGGUGAGUAACGCGUGGGAACCUGCCCUGGAGUGGGGAAUAACCCGGCGAAAGCCGGGCUAAUACCCCAUACGACCUGAGGGUGAAAGAUUUAUCGCUCUAGGAGGGGCCCGCGUCGGAUUAGCUAGUUGGUGAGGUAACGGCUCACCAAGGCGACGAUCCGUAGCUGGUCUGAGAGGAUGAUCAGCCACACUGGGACUGAGACACGGCCCAGACUCCUACGGGAGGCAGCAGUGGGGAAUAUUGGACAAUGGGGGAAACCCUGAUCCAGCAAUGCCGCGUGAGUGAUGAAGGCCUUAGGGUUGUAAAGCUCUUUCGGCGGGACGAUGAUGACGGUACCGCAGAAGAGCCCCGGCUAACUUCGUGCCAGCAGCCGC